CUUUGAUGAAGUUUUCGGAUGGAUUUAAACAGCUUAGUGGCGGACGGGUGAGUAACGCGUGGGUAACCUGCCUUGUACUGGGGGACAACAGUUGGAAACGACUGCUAAUACCGCAUAAGCGCACAGCUUCGCAUGAAGCAGUGUGAAAAACUCCGGUGGUACAAGAUGGACCCGCGUCUGAUUAGCUGGUUGGUGAGGUAACGGCCCACCAAGGCGACGAUCAGUAGCCGGCCUGAGAGGGUGAACGGCCACAUUGGGACUGAGACACGGCCCAAACUCC
rnacentral:rRNA from 1 species